CUGACAGGCCUGGAAGUUGGGCUUCUCCAAAAGGCACUGGUGUUGUUCCACAAUUUUCAAGCAAGGAGGCCGUGACCAGAUGUAGCCUUUAGUUUUGGACAUCUCAACCUCCAGAACUGUGAGCUGGAUAAACUUCAAUUGUUUGGAAUGUCCCCAAUCUACAGCAUUCUGUUAUUGCCACAGAAAAUGGACUACAACAUCAGGCAUUCUGGAGACAAAGUACUUCUGAUCUUGGGAAUGUUUGAGUGAUAAUGGCACCAGUCAUUCAAUGAUGUCCACUCACAUUGAGGGUGGACCUUUCUGUCAGUCUGCAGCCUACCAACUCACAUGUUAAUGUCCUCUGGAAACUCUCACAGACUGCUGUGGUGUGGACAUCCCCUCCAAAACUCACAUGGUGAUUUAAUUUUCUCUGUAACAGUAUUAAGACACUGUUAUCCUGGCAAUGGGUUUGUUAUCAUGAAGGUAGAUUUGUGAUGGAUGGGUUUGUCCUUAUUUCUUCUGUCUCCUAUGUGGUCAAUUGCCCGUUUGGUAUGUUGUGACACAGCACAGAGGCCCUUAUCAGAUGUUGGCACCAUGUUUUUAGACUUCCCAGCCCCCAGUAUUAUGAGUCAAAUAAACUUUUAUUGUUUGUAAAUUACCCAACUCUAAGGUAUUCUGUUAUAGA